GACGAACGCUGGCGGCGUGCUUAACACAUGCAAGUCGAACGCUGAAGCUCAGCUUUUGUUGGGUGGAUGAGUGGCGAACGGGUGAGUAACACGUGAGUAACCUGCCCCCUUCUUUGGGGUAACGCCCGGAAACGGGUGCUAAUACUGGAUAUUCACUGGUCUUCGCAUGGGGGUUGGUGGAAAGGGUUUUUCUGGUGGGGGAUGGGCUCGCGGCCUAUCAGCUUGUUGGUGGGGUGAUGGCCUACCAAGGCUUUGACGGGUAGCCGGCCUGAGAGGGUGACCGGUAACAUUGGGACUGAGAUACGGCCCAGACUACUACGGGAGGCAGAAGUGGGGAAUAUUGCACAAUGGGCGCAAGCGUGAUGCAGCGACGCCGCGUGAGGGAUGGAGGCCUUCGGGUUGUGAACCUCUUUCGCUAAUGGUCAAGCCGCAACAAUGGUUGUGGUGAGGGUAGUGGGUAAAGAAGCGCCGGCUAACUACGUG
rnacentral:rRNA from 1 species